rnacentral:rRNA from 1 species
UACGUAGGGUGCAAGCGUUGUCCGGAAUUAUUGGGCGUAAAGAGCGUGUAGGCGGCCAUGCAGGUCAGCUGUGAAAACUCGAGGCUCAACCUCGAGACGUCGGUUGAAACCGUAUGGCUAGAGUCCGGAAGAGGAGAGUGGAAUUCCCGGUGUAGCGGUGAAAUGCGCAGAUAUCGGGAAGAACACCUAUGGCGAAGGCAGCUCUCUGGGACGGUACUGACGCUGAGACGCGAAAGCGUGGGGGAGCGAACAGG